GAGUUUGAUCCUGGCUCAGAUUGAACGCUGGCGGCAGGCUUAACACAUGCAAGUCGAGCGGAGAUGAGGUGCUUGCACCUUAUCUUAGCGGCGGACGGGUGAGUAAUGCUUAGGAAUCUGCCUAUUAGUGGGGGACAACAUUCCGAAAGGGAUGCUAAUACCGCAUACGUCCUACGGGAGAAAGCAGGGGAUCUUCGGACCUUGCGCUAAUAGAUGAGCCUAAGUCGGAUUAGCUAGUUGGUGGGGUAAAGGCCUACCAAGGCGACGAUCUGUAGCGGGUCUGAGAGGAUGAUCCGCCACACUGGGACUGAGACACGGCCCAGACUCCUACGGGAGGCAGCAGUGGGGAAUAUUGGACAAUGGGGGGAACCCUGAUCCAGCCAUGCCGCGUGUGUGAAGAAGGCCUUAUGGUUGUAAAGCACUUUAAGCGAGGAGGAGGCUACUGAGACUAAUACUCUUGGAUAGUGGACGUUACUCGCAGAAUAAGCACGGCUAACUCUGUGCCA
rnacentral:rRNA from 1 species